GACGAACGCUGGCGGCGUGCUUAACACAUGCAAGUCGAGCGGUAAGGCCCUUUCGGGGGUACACGAGCGGCGAACGGGUGAGUAACACGUGGGUGACCUGCCCUCAGCUCUGGGAUAAGCCUGGGAAACCGGGUCUAAUACUGGAUAUGACUCCAUGACGCAUGUUGUGGGGUGGAAAGCCUUGUGCGGCUGAGGAUGGGCCCGCGGCCUAUCAGCCUGUUGGUGGGGUGAUGGCCUACCAAGGCGACGACGGGUAGCCGGCCUGAGAGGGCGACCGGCCACACUGGGACUGAGACACGGCCCAGACUCCUACGGGAGGCAGCAGUGGGGAAUCUUGCGCAAUGGGCGAAAGCCUGACGCAGCGACGCCGCGUGAGGGAUGACGGCCU
rnacentral:rRNA from 1 species